rnacentral:rRNA from 1 species
AAGUCGUAACAAGGUAGCCGUACCGGAAGGUGCGGCUGGAACACCUCCUUUCUGGAGACCU